CGUAGGAUCAUCUUAUUUUCUGUUUUACCAUCAGCUGCCAAUCGGUAUGUCAAGUACAGUUAUCCUUAAAUAAUUCCUCUGAUUUGAAGCGAAAUAUGUAUAAAUUAUUUGUUUUAGCUUUUUGCUAAGUCUUAGCUAAUAUGUCAGCUUUUGUCGGAAGGUGUAAGUAUUUUAUACGAAUUAACAGGUCCGACUAAAGCGAGAACAAUACUAUAAUAUUAGUCGUAAGUCAGAAAAGUUUUGAACAAGAAGAAAAUAAGAGUCAGGAAGUUUCUUUACCCUUGGGAAACGUGAAUUUACGAGCUACGAAUACCACCAGCUGAGAGGUAGAGGAUACCGAUGUCUACCAAAUAUGGUCAGACUCGAUACAAAUUGACACACUUCCUUUUAAAGGCUUGCAUUGAUUGGGUGGCUUGGUGUGAAUUCAAGGAAAGAGCUGGAUUUACGAUGACGAGUCAUAAAUCCAGCCCUUAAAUGGGUACAUCGAAUUUAGAAUAAAAGUUUAUAGAUAAAUUGUUCGCUGAAAUGCUGUCAGACGUUAAGGAAGGAAGGGUAGGAAGAGCGUAUCUGGAUAUGAGAUCACUCGACAUCCGGUUGCCUGGAUGCACAGAAUGAUCUGUCAAUGGGAAGUGCGUUAUCACAGUACGCGUGGUAUGUCAUCCUCCCUUUUUCCAUUCUUCUCCCUCUUUCGUGUCUGUUCUACACAUGCUUUUAAUGGGACGACCUAAUUUUGCGAAAAUACAUGAGGAAAGAUAAAUUCUACUGAACGACGAUUGAAAUCGUUCGUCUGAUUAAAGCAAUAAGCCUGGUUAUGAAGAUCGAGAUGCCUUGCGAAACUAUGGGAAUCCCGAUUAUAAUACCGUGAGAAGAAAUUUUGCAAUUUUAUAUACGCAAAGAAUUAUUGUAAUUUUUAUAGAAAAUUAUGUUGGUAUGUUGUACAG